rnacentral:rRNA from 1 species
AACGUAGGAGACAAACGUUAUCCGGAGUUACUGGGCGUAAAGGGCGUGCAGGUGGUCUGUUAAGUUCGGCGUGAAAGCGCCCGGCUAAACCGGGCGAGGUCGUCGGAGACUGGCGGACUAGAGGACGGUAGAGGCGGGUGGAAUUCCGGGUGUAGUGGUGAAAUGCGUAGAGAUCCGGAGGAACACCAGUGGCGAAGGCGACCCGCUGGGCCGUACCUGACACUAAUACGCGACAGCAUGGGGAGCGAACGGG